CUCCUUCCGGCCGGCGCGCCCCGGACGUGACCUCGCGGGCGCGCGCCGGAGCCGCCCUGGGGGAGGAGCCCGCACCCCUCGAGCAGUAGCCUCGCUUUCCCUGAUGAAACUCUAAUACUGCCUCAUGUCCCUGACCCCUGACCUCCGAGCCCCCCUGCCCCCGAUAUCUGUCCUAGGGCCCCAGCCGUGCAGCCUCAGUAUUUCUUUGCACCUUUUUCUCUUUUCUUCCACCCGGCUCCCCCCAGGCACAUUCACUUCCGGCAUCAUCUCUGCUGUCCGUCUGUCCUCCAUCCUUCCGUCGUGAAGGGCCCGCCCACUUUCUGAGAGACAGACGCGGAGCCCAUGGGCAUCAGCUGAAAGGGCAGAUCCCGCUCGGGGCCAGCCUGUCACCUGCUCAGAGACGGCCCGGCUUGCCGCCAUCUAUGUCCGGGGCCACCUGGCCUUGGGCCAGUGUUCCCGCCUGGAGUCAGGCUUCAGACCCUGGUUUCGCCCUCAUGUCAAAGCUGGUGACAACAGUCCAAUCUUACAGAGUUCUCAUGAGAACCGAUGUCAGGUGCCCUCAUCUCUAGAAGUCCUUGCCCAGAAGACUGCUUGAGCCGUCUUGUCCCGUUUAGUCCUGAAAACCACCCUGUCAGGUAGAAAGUCACUGUCCAGCCCAUUUUGUAGAUGAAACCAGGGAGGCUCAGAGAAGUCAAGUCAUUGGCCCCAGGGCACACAGCUAUAAGGCAGCAGAGGCGAGGUUCAAGUGCACACCAGUUCACUCCAGAGCCUAAGCUUCUCACCGCUCUUCCCUUCUGGGUCCUCUUUCUUCGUGUCCUGUUCACUCAUUCGGCCACUGUCUAUGGUGCGCCUGCUUUCUGGGGCCGCGGUGGUGGCAGAUGAGGCCCUGCCCUGUCUGUGGAGAUGUACAGGAUCUCCUGUGGGCAACUGCUGUCUGCCCUGGGGGCUCAGGCCAGGCCAGCCCCUCCCCAUCUGGCUUCCCCACUGCUCCUUGAACCUAAAGGCCUGUGGGGUGCUGCAGUGGAUGUGAAAGAGGAAGCAGGUCACAGCAGGACCGCUGUGGGCAUCGGGAUCCUCGGGGGGGUGGGGGCAGUGCAGGCAUGAAAGGAAUGGGGUGCAGCCGGGUACCCCAGCCAGGCACCACUUCAUCCCCAGCAGAUGGCUGUCCCAAAAAAGAGGGGCAGUGACAAGUGUCUGGGGGGGGAGGAAUGGGAGCCCCUCCCACUGCUGGUGGGCAUGUCAGAUGGUGCUGGCAGUCCUUCAGCACGGGGUCACCAUGUGCCCUGGCGAUUCCACUCCUAGGUAUGCACCCAAGGGAAAGGAAAACACAUCCACAUGUGGAGUCCUGCUGUGGCACAAUGGGAUUGGCAGUGUCUCCAGAGUACAGGUUCGAUCCCUGGCCUGGCCCAGUACGUUAAGGAUCUGGGCAGCUCUGGCGUAGGUCACAACUAUGGCUCAGGUCUGCUCCCUGGCCCGGGAACUCCAUAUGCCACAGAGCAGCCAAAAAAACAACAAGCAAAUAAAACAUGUCCAUGCAAAAACUCAUCCUCAGACGUUCACAGCAGCAUUAUUCCUAACAGUCAAAAGAGAGAAACAACCAAAAUGUCCAUCAGCAAAUGAGUGGAUAAACAAACGGUGGUCUGUCCACACCAUGAAAUAUUACUCAGCCAUGAAAAGGAAUGAAGUCCUGACGUGGCCACAACGUGGAUACAUUUUGCAGACAUGGUGCUCAUUGAAAGAAGCCAGACACAAAAGGCCACGUAUUGCAUGGUUCCACUUCUAUAAAAUGUUCAGAAUAGGCAAAUCUAUAGACAAAGUAGAUGACUGGUUGCCAGGGACUGGAGGUGGGGGUUUGAGGGAAAACUGGGAAGCAGUGCAGGGUUUCUUUUGGGGUGAUAAAAAUAUUCUGAAAUUGAUGGUGGUGAUGGUUGCACUACAUUGAAAUACUGAAAACCUUUGAAUUGUAUAUUCUUUCUUUCUCUCUUUCUUUCUUUCUUUCUUUCCCUCCCUCCCUCCCUCCCUCCCUCCCUCCCUCCUUCCUUCCUUCCUUCCUUCUUUCUUUCUUUUUGGUCUUUUUUGGGUCACACCCACGGCAUAUGGAAGUUCCCAGGCCAGGGGUUGAAUCAGAGCUCUACCUGCCAGCCUACGUGCCACAGCCACAGCAACGCCAGAUCUGAGCUGAGUCUGCGACCUACACUGCAGCUGAUGGCAAUGUCGGAUCCUUAACCUACUGAGUGAAGGAAGGGAUUGAACCCGAGUCCUCAUGGAUACCAGUCCGGUUCGUUACCUCUGAGCCACAAUGGGAAAUGCAUUUUUUUUUCUUUUUUCUUUGGCCACACCCACGGCAUGCAAAAGUUCCUGGGCCAGGGCUCGAACCCACAACACAUCAGUGACUGAGCCAUAGCAAGCAGUGGCAACACUGGAUCCUUCAUCUGCUUAGCCAUCAGGGAACUCCAAAUUGUAUACUUUAAAAUGGUACAUUGUAGGAGUUCCUGCCGUGGAGCAACAGAAUCAGUGGCAUCUCCGCAGCAUCAGGAUGCAGGUUCCAUCCCCAGCCCAGCACAGUGAGUUAAGGGUCCAGAGUUCCCCAAGCUGUGGCAUAGGUCAGAUCUGAUCCCUGGCCUGGGAACUCCAUAUGCCAAGGGGCGGCCAAAAAAGAAAAGAAAAAAGGAAAAUUGUAUACUGUGUGAAUUAUAUCUGAAUAAAACUUUUAUUAAAAAGUAUUAGGGCGUUCCCGUUGUGGCGCAGUGGUUAACAAAUCCGACUAGGAACCAUGAGGUUGCGGGUUCAGUCCCUGCCCUUGCUCAGUGGGUUAACGAUCUGGCGUUGCUGUGAGCUGAGGUGUAGGCUGCAGACUUGGCUCGGAUCCUGCGUUGCUGUGGCUCUGGCGUAGGCUGGCAGCUACAGCUCCGAUUAGAUCCCUAGCCUGGGAACCUCCAUAUGCUGUGGGAGCGGCCCAAGAAAUGGCAAAAAGACAAAAAAAAUAUUAGUAGGCCAGCGGCUACAGCUCCAAUUGGACCCCUCGCCUGGGAACCUCCAUAUGCCACAGGUACAGCCCUAGAAAGACAAAAUAUAUAUAUAUGUAUUUCUGAAGCCCAAGGAUUCAGAAACUGGCUGAGUGAUGGGACAUUCUUUGGGGUCACUUUGCUGUGGUUCUCAUGAUGGCUGAGAAGUGAUUCUGUAGAUAAGGUCUUCCUUCAUCCGUCAGUUAACCCCUGGGAGAGGCCCCACCCCCACGACCCUUCCUGUGUCACUUGUCCUCGGUGUCAGCCCCUUCUUUCCUUCCUUUAGAGCUGUUCCCACACUUGGAAUUGUAUUCUGUCCGUGGACCUGAUUUUUGUCUCAUUCUCGUGCUGGGCCAAGUUCCAUGAGGUCGGGGGGGCUUGUCUCUGUCUUGUUUGCCAUAUAGUAGGUGCUCUGUAAAUACCUGCUGUGCAAAUGGGCCACAUCACAACUGGGGGCGACUGGCCGGGGUCUGCGCUCGCUGCAGGGAGAGAGCCGGCAGGGUGGAUCAGGGUGUCUCCCGGCCCCAGUGGCUUUCUUUUCCUCUGUUCCAGUUCCAGGAGAAUGCCUCUGGAAAGGAAGCCCAAAGCCUGGUCUGGCUGGGAGGAGGCGAGCGGGGAGGGGCGCCGAGUGGGAGUGGGGGCCGGCGGGCCUGGGGAGGAAGUCUGCAGCCCCAGGCUGCCGAGGGUGCGGUGGCUGUGUUUGCACCUUUGGAAUGUGGCUGAUUCACUCUGGGGGGAGCCACGCAGCCACCGCUGCUGCCUUGGAUCCGACAUCUGGAGGCCGAAUUCCAAGAGGAGAGAGACAGAUCCUUGCACGCAGAUGCCAACUUGGAAGGUCGAACUGAGCGACGGAGCUGAGGAGGAGGAGGCUGAAAGGGUCGCGCACCGCCCCCCAGGAUUCUGGGAGAGGAGUGCCCCCUUCCCCAGCCUUGUCCCAGCCCCUGAGGGGACAGUGUCGGGGAGGCAGACUGAGCUCUGCAGACAGACCUUCAAAGACCAGUUGGUUAACAGCUGGUGCUAAGUGCCAAGGCCAGAGGCUGAGCUGGUCCAGUGUCUGCCGUGGCCCCGGGACACUGGCUUGCAUCUCCUUGCCCAGUGUCCUCUGUGUGGCUUUCCCCUCCAGCCAUUGCUCCCCAAGGCCCUUGAACUCCCAGCGUGCCUCUCCCUGGGGCUCCAACAAGACCCUAGGCUUGGGAGUUUUGUGGCGUGGUGGAAAUAAAUCCAGCUAGCAUCCAUGAGGUUGUGGGUUCGAUCCCUGGCCUUGCUCAGUGGGUUAAAGGUCUGGCGUUGCAGUGAGCUGUGGUGUCACAGGCCCAGCUCGGAAACUGCAACAGCUCCAAUUAGACCCCCAGCCUGGGAACCUCCAUUUGCCGCCGAGGGUGCUGCCCUAAAAAGACAAAAGACAAAAGACAAAAAAAAAAAAAAAAAAAAAA
rnacentral:lncRNA from 1 species